UCACAAAUGUUCCCUACACUGGA
rnacentral:piRNA from 1 species